rnacentral:rRNA from 1 species
CUCGGUAUCAUAGUACGGGAGUUUGAUCCUGGCUCAGGACGAACGCUGGCGGCGUGCCUAAUACAUGCAAGUCGAGCGGAUUGAUGGGAGCUUGCUCCCUGAUAUCAGCGGCGGACGGGUGAGUAACACGUGGGUAACCUGCCUGUAAGACUGGGAUAACUCCGGGAAACCGGGGCUAAUACCGGAUAACUCAUUUCCUCGCAUGAGGAAAUGUUGAAAGGUGGCUUUUAGCUACCACUUACAGAUGGACCCGCGGCGCAUUAGAUAGUUGGUGAGGUAACGGCUCACCAAGUCGACGAUCUAUAGCUGGUUUGAGAGGAUGAUCAGCCACACUGGGACUGAGACACGGCCCAGACUCCUACGGGAGGCAGCAGUGAGGAAUCUUGGACAAUGCGCGAAAGCCUGAUCCAGCCAUGCCGCGUG